rnacentral:rRNA from 1 species
CUUAGAGGCGGACGGGUGAGUAACGCGUGGGUAACCUGCCCCAUACCGGGGGAUACCACCUGGAAACAGGUGCUAAUACCGCAUAAGCGCACGGGAGCGCAUGCUCCUGUGUGAAAAACUCCGGUGGUAUGGGAUGGACCCGCGUCUGAUUAGCCAGUUGGCAGGGUAACGGCCUACCAAAGCGACGAUCAGUAGCCGGCCUGAGAGGGUGGACGGCCACAUUGGGACUGAGACACGGCCCAAACUCCUACGGAAGGCAGCAG